AUGAUCUCCACUUUCUCCUCAGCCUCAGUCUUCCCCAGAAGGCCCUUCCAGGCCCAAGCAGGUAGAAUCUCAGACUAUUACCCCCACAAAACAACAGCCACAACAUCAGGAGCAGAAGCGGCAGCAAUGGCAGCGGCGGCCUCCCCAAACCCCAACCCCACAGUCGCCACCCCGUCCCCAGGGGCGGGCGGCAGGGGCAGCGACGGUAGCGACAGCGGCUGAACGAAACUGGUCACCUGCAGGUAUUUUCAUGCAUGGGGUUUGUAAGGAAGGAGAUAACUGUUGCUACUCGCAUGACCUCUCUGACAGUCCAUAUGAUGUAGUGUGCAAGUAUUUUCAGCGAGGGUAUUGUAUUUAUGGAGACCGCUGCAGAUAUGAACAUAGCAAGCCAUUGAAACAGGAAGAAGCAACUGCUACAGAUCUAACUACAAAGUCCUCACUUGCUGCUUCCUCAAGUCUCCCAUCAGUAGUAGGGCCACUUGGUGAAAUGAAUACAGGAGAAGCUGAGUCAAGAAAUUCAAACUUUGCAACUGUAGGAGCAGGUUCAGAGGACUGGGUGAAUGCCAUUGAGUUUGUUCCUGGGCAACCCUACUGCGGCUGUAUCGUACUUUGAGGCCCGUGAGAAGGACAUGGAGCUCUCAUUUGCUGUGCAGCGCAGCAAGGACAUGGUGUGUGGGAUCUGCAUGGAGGUGGUGUGUGAGAAAGCCAACCCCAGCGAGGGCCGUUUGGGAUCCUGUCCAACUGCAACCACACCUACCGUCUCAAGUGUAUUCGCAAGUGGAGGAGUGCUAAGCAAUUUGAGAGCAAGAUCAUAAAGUCCUGCCCAGAAUGCUGGAUCACAUCUAACCUUGUCAUUCCAAGUGAGUACUGGGUGGAGGAGAAAGAAGAGAAGCAGAAACUCAUUCAGAAAUACAAGGAGGCAAUGAGCAACAAGGCGUGCAGGUAUUUUGAUGAAGGAUGUGGGAGCUGCCCAUUUGGAAGGAACUGUUUUUACAAGCAUGCGUCCCCUGAUGGCCGUAGAGAGGAGCCACAGACACAGAAAGUGGGAACAUCAAGCAGAUACCGGGCCCAACGAAGGAACCACUUCUGGGAGUUCAUUGAGGAAAGAGAGAACAGCAUCCCCUUUGACACCGAUGAAGAGGUUGUCACCUUUGAGCUGGGCGAGAUGUUGCUUAUGCUUUUGGCUGCAGGUGGGGACGACGAACUGACAGACUCUGAAGAUGAGUGGGACUUGUUUCAUGAUGAGCUGGAAGAUUUUUAUGACUUGGACCUAGAGCAUCCUUGCGUGGCGUGUGAACUGGUCCGCUGAGCCUCAGACAGUAGCUGUCCCCUGUGGUGGUGUGAUCUCUCCUAGGCAGGCCUAUCAACUCCAGGUGCUGUCCUCAUAAUUUUACCCAGGGUCUGUCUUCUCCACCCCUCACCUUUCUCCAAGGAGCGUGUUGUUUUCUCUGUUGAAAAAGUUACAAAAAUAAAUCUUCA